CAGUUGCGAGCGGGCUGUUGAUCUGAGAAAUACCGGUGAACUUGAUCUGGAUAAUACCAGCGAAAGGACAUGCUUCUUGCCUUCC
rnacentral:ncRNA from 1 species